rnacentral:rRNA from 1 species
GACGAACGCUGGCGGCGUGCUUAACACAUGCAAGUCGAACGGAAAGGCCCUGCUUGCAGGGUACUCGAGUGGCGAACGGGUGAGUAACACGUGGGUGAUCUGCCCUGCACUUCGGGAUGAGCCUGGGAAACUGGGUCUAAUACCGGAUAGGAGCCAUUUUUAGUGUGAUGGUUGGAAAGUUUUUUCGGUGUAGGAUGAGCUCGCGGCCUAUCAGCUUGUUGGUGGGGUAUGGCCUACCAAGGCGGCGACGGGUAGCCGGCCUGAGAGGGUGGACGGCCACAUUGGGACUGAGAUACGGCCCAGACUCCUACGGGAGGCAGCAGUGGGGAAUAUUGCACAAUGGGCGCAAGCCUGAUGCAGCGACGCCGCGUGGGGGAUGACGGCCUUCGGGUUGUAAACUCCUUUCGCUAGGGACGAAGCUUUUUGUGACGGUACCUAGAUAAGAAGCACCGGCUAACUACGU